GAUGAACGCUGGCGGCGUGCCUAAUACAUGCAAGUCGAGCGAACAGACGAGGAGCUUGCUCCUUUGACGUUAGCGGCGGACGGGUGAGUAACACGUGGGUCACCUACCUCUAAGACUGGGAUAACUUCGGGAAACCGGUGCUACUACCGGCUCAUAUUUCGAACCGCAUGGUUCGAUAGUGAAAGAUGGCUUUGCUAUCACUUAUAGAUGGACCUGCGCCGGAUUAGCUAGUUGGUAAGGUAACGGCCUACCAAGGCAACGAUGCGUAGCCGACCUGAGAGGGUGAUCGGCCACACUGGAACUGAGACACGGUCCAGACUCCUACGGGAGGCAGCAGUAGGGAAUCUUCGACAAUGGGCGAAAGCCUGACGGAGCAACGCCGCGUGAGUGAUGAAGGUCUUCGGAUCGUAAAACUCUUUUAUUAGGGAAGAACAACCGUGGAAGUAACUGUGGACGUCUUGACGGUACCUAAUCAGAAAGCAACGGCUAACUACGUG
rnacentral:rRNA from 1 species